UGUUAGUAUAGUUUAACAAAAACAUUAGGCAGUGGCCCUAAAAACAGAAGUUUUAACCCUUCUUACAAACAA
rnacentral:tRNA from 1 species